UACGAAGGGGGCUAACGUUGCUCGGAAUCACUGGGCGUAAAGGGUGCGUAGGCGGGUCUUUUAAGUCAGGGGUGAAAUCCUGGAGCUCAACUCCAGAACUGCCUUUGAUACUGAAGAUCUUGAGUUCGGGAGAGGUGAGUGGAACUGCGAGUGUAGAGGUGAAAUUCGUAGAUAUUCGCAAGAACACCAGUGGCGAAGGCGGCUCACUGGCCCGAUACUGACGCUGAGGCACGAAAGCGUGGGUAGCAAACAGG
rnacentral:rRNA from 1 species